rnacentral:tRNA from 1 species
GAGUAGAGGCUCGCAGCAGUAGGAACUGCUAACUCCUACCUCCUUGGUUAAACCCCAGGGCUCACUCG